rnacentral:sRNA from 1 species
AUUUGGUUAAUGUGUGUGCGUAAGGGAUUGCAGCGGCAUCCUUUAUUUUUUUCUUUAAAAAAAUAAAGAUAUAGCGAAAAGCCCGACCCGAG